CCUGGCGGCACUAGCGCGGUGGUCCCACCUGACCCCAUGCCGAACUCAGAAGUGAAACGCCGUAGCGCGGUAGUUCAGUUGGUUAGAAUACCUGCCUGUCACGCAGGGGGUCGCGGGUU
rnacentral:rRNA from 1 species